AAUAAAGCUCUCUUUUUCUCCUUCACCUAAAACUCUGUCUCCAAAUUUCCAUUCAGCAAUGGCAGACAGAAGCUGAGUUUCGGCAGCAAAAUUUGAGGGCUCCAGGAUCUGCCUGUGGGCAGGCGGCCCCACAGUGCUCUUGGCUGGAUCAGACACUUUGAGGUUUCUCUCCACACCAGUCCCCCUUCAGGUGAGCAGAGGAUUGGAGGACUCUUUUAGAGGCCAGACUGCUGAGAGUUUCCUGCCAUGGGGCCGGCCCCGAGCAGAGCUGACUGGCCAUCUUGGAAGUUGGAACUCCAGGGUGGAAAAGUGGUUGGAAGGCAGCUCUCACUGGCCUUGGGGGGACUCCUUCCUUUUCCCUCUGCUCCUGCCAACCAGAACUUCCCACUUCAAGAAGACUUUUUGGGAAGGAGAAAAGUAGCAUCUGUGAUUUCAAGACACCUCUGCCAGCAUCUGGAUGAGAUUCAGAAUUGGGAAGGCAAAGUAAUCAUACCGAUAAAAAGAGGAUUUUGGACCUCCAGAAGAUACUGAAGUGGGGGUGGGGGCAGGGAGAGAGGGUGUUUAUCUGCUUGCCUGGCUGGCACUGUAGCUGUCAUCAUUUCCUUACAUCUUCACCACGACAAGACUGUGUCAUUCGAGCCAUCUUGAGAAGGAGAAGAUGAAAGCUGGGAGGCCGUGAACAUCUCGCCCAGAUUUAUGUUGCUGCAAAAAGAAUUGAAAUUGGGAGGCAGAUUGCAUCCAAAGCUGGAAUAUUUCCAUGUGCUCUUCCCUACACCAUCCUAAAGACAUGGAAGGCAGGGCCUCCCCUCCCUUCCGUGCACCUUCUUGCCCCCGCCCCUGUGGUCUCUGUAUCUGCACUAAGAUGAAUGUACUCUGGCCUCUCCCACCUCACACUGAGCAAGGAGAAAAGGCAACAGCCUCAAAUCUGCCCAAUAUUCCAUGGAAGCUGGUCUUUGUUCUACAUGGACAGUGAUUCCGUUUGAAAAGGCAGCAACAUUGAACUGCCCCAGCUUCCUGGCUAUGCCCACCGAUGAAGGUGACAAUCACGAUGCAGAAAUGGACAAUUGGGAGCGUUGGAUGGAAUAAUUACAAUAGUGAACAAAGAACAGCAGUGAAGACAUUUUACCCAAACAUCUUGCUUGCUGUUGGAAGUCUGACUUGACCCAAUGUGAAGCCCUCUUCUCCAUUCCAGAUCCAGGACACCAUCCCCUGAAGGAGUCAUCAGGGACCUGUGGGAUAGGGGCCAUUGCCGGGGAUGCCCUAAUAGAGGUCCUUCAAGAAAUAACAAGUAAGAGGCUGCAGUUUCUGCAACCAGAGAUGAUGGGGCUGAAACGUCAGCAGGACAGACCAGGAUGGAAGAUCAGUCACGGAGCGGUAGGCUUUCCCCCUCUGUCUUCAGCCCUGCCAGGUAGACCUUGGCUUGCCCUGGAGUUCCCUGGCUGUGGGCUUCUCCCUUCUCCUCUUGGCCCAGCGGAACUGCCGGGACUGCUGAGAGACAAGCUUGAGCAGGACAGACAGGCAAGGCAGAUGCAGGGGGCAGGCGCUGCAGCAGUGGU